CUACUUUGGCAAUACAUAUAAUAAAAUUGGAACAAUAUAGAGAAGAUUAGCAUGGCCCCUGUGUAAGGAUGAUAUGCAAAUUUGUGAAGCAUUCCAUAUUGGA
ensembl:snRNA U6 U6 spliceosomal RNA